rnacentral:rRNA from 1 species
GACGAACGCUGGCGGCGUGCCUAAUACAUGCAAGUCGAACGCAGUGGGGACGGGUGAGUAAAACGUGGGUAACCGCCCAUCAGAGGGGAUAACACUUGGAAACAGGUGCUAAAAACGAUACAGAUGGAAGGACCCGCGGGGCAGUAGCUCGGUGGUGAGGUAACGUCCCACCAAGGCCACGAAGCAUAGCCGACCUGAGAGGAGGACCGGCCACACUGGAACUGAGACACGGCCCAGACUCCUACGGGAGGCAGCAGUGGGGAAUCUUGGGCAAGGGACGAAAGUCUGACCGAGCAACGCCGCGUGAGUGAAGAAGGUUUUCGGAUCGUAAAACUCUGUUGUUAAAGAAGCGGUAUCUAACCAGAAAGCCACGGCUAACUACGUGCCAGCAGCCGCGGUAAUUC